CAUGGGUGGAGUGUUAUUAGGCAUUGUGAUUCAAUUGACUAUUACUUGUCUAUAUUAUAUAAUACUACUGUAUUAUAGAAGUAAUCAUACUUAACAUGUUUUUAUUACUGUAUUGUAUACUUAAACUUGUUAGUGUAUAAAUGUAACAUACUGUGGGUGCUGGUAGGUGAAGGAUUAGUGGUUCUUCACCACAGGACUGUUCUGUGAUGGAGCAUCAGUAAUGAUGCAGGUCAGGAGUACUGAGGGGACCAUGGUGAGAAUGAAAACAAAAGCCUCAAUCCUCAACCUCAGCCGUAUAAAUCUUUUGGAGAUUUUUCCCUCUACUCCACAGCAUGAUGGAAGCCUGCUGGAGAGUGACUGAGCUUCUUUCUCCAACACAUCCACUGCAUUGGGGAGCUCCAUGAGCAGGAUUGUCAUCUGUUUGCCGUGUUGCAGUUUUGCAUUUUCCACAGAUGCUGGCAAAUCGGAUUAAUUUGUGGACAAUGUAGCCUGCGAGAUGGAAGAGAAUACAUUUCUCUGUUUUUGUGAGGUCAGGUGCUGUUCUGUUCUCCACCAUCAGCUGUUCCACUCUGACUGAUGGAGUGACGUUUUGUUUCACUGUUUCCAGGAAGUCUGCCAAAAAACUACUGUCAUCUUCCUGGUAGCUCCCAGAGGUGAUGGCGCUGAAGAACUGACCUACGGAUAUGAUUCUCAGUGCAUGAUGGAAUUCCACUGGAGUUGGCUUCCAAACUCCCUUAUGACCAAUCUUCAUCCCAUAGAAUAGAUGGAUGAUAUCCUGUAGGAAGAUUAUGGCCUUUUCAUACUCCUCUAUCUUGACCCUGCUCAGUGCUGUAAUUGGAUGGCGAGAUGACAUAAGAUCAAAC